GUUUCCAUAGUGUAGUGGUUAUCACGUUAAGCCUCCACACCUUGAAAGGUCCCCAGUUGAAACUGGGUGGAAACA
rnacentral:tRNA from 1 species